rnacentral:rRNA from 1 species
CAGCAGCCGCGGGAAUACGUAGGGUGCAAGCGUUAAUCGGAAUUACUGGGCGUAAAGCGUGCGCAGGCGGUUCUAUAAGACAGAUGUGAAAUCCACGGGCUCAACCUGGGAACUGCAUUUGUGACUGUAGAGCUGGAGUGCGGCAGAGGGGGAUGGAAUUCCGCGUGUAGCAGUGAAAUGCGUAGAUAUGCGGAGGAACACCGAUGGCGAAGGCAAUCCCCUGGGCCUGCACUGACGCUCAUGCACGAAAGCGUGGGGAGCAAACAGGAUUAGAUACCCGAGUAGUCCCUGUCUCUUAUAC